CGUGCCUAAUACAUGCAAGUCGAGCGAACAGACGAGGAGCUUGCUCCUCUGACGUUAGCGGCGGACGGGUGAGUAACACGUGGAUAACCUACCUAUAAGACUGGGAUAACUUCGGGAAACCGGAGCUAAUACCGGAUAAUAUAUUGAACCGCAUGGUUCAAUAGUGAAAGACGGUUUUGCUGUCACUUAUAGAUGGAUCCGCGCCGCAUUAGCUAGUUGGUAAGGUAACGGCUUACCAAGGCAACGAUGCGUAGCCGACCUGAGAGGGUGAUCGGCCACACUGGAACUGAGACACGGUCCAGACUCCUACGGGAGGCAGCAGUAGGGAAUCUUCCGCAAUGGGCGAAAGCCUGACGGAGCAACGCCGCGUGAGUGAUGAAGGUCUUCGGAUCGUAAAACUCUGUUAUUAGGGAAGAA
rnacentral:rRNA from 1 species